rnacentral:snRNA from 1 species
AUCGCUUCUCGGCCUUUUGGCUAAGAUCAAGUGUAGUAUCUGUUCUAUAUAUCAGUUUAAUAUCUGAUAUGUCCCCCAUCGGGGGACUAUACAUAUUAAUGGAUUUUUCGAACAGGGAGCGGAAGCGGGGCUUUGCUCCGUCCGCUCCACGCAUCGACUCGGUAUUGCAGUACCUCCGAGAACGGUGCACCCUCU